GAUGAACGCUGGCGGCGUGCCUAAUACAUGCAAGUCGAGCGAACGGACGAGAAGCUUGCUUUUCUGAUGUUAGCGGCGGACGGGUGAGUAACACGUGGAUAACCUACCUAUAAGACUGGGAUAACUUCGGGAAACCGGAGCUAAUACCGGAUAAUAUUUUGAACCGCAUGGUUCAAAAGUGAAAGACGGUCUUGCUGUCACUUAUAGAUGGAUCCGCGCUGCAUCAGCUAGUUGGUAAGGUAACGGCUUACCAAGGCAACGAUGCAUAGCCGACCUGAGAGGGUGAUCGGCCACACUGGAACUGAGACACGGUCCAGACUCCUACGGGAGGCAGCAGUAGGGAAUCUUCCGCAAUGGGCGAAAGCCUGACGGAGCAACGCCGCGUGAGUGAUGAAGGUCUUCGGAUCGUAAAACUCUGUUAUUAGGGAAGAACAUAUGUGUAAGUAACUGUGCACAUCUUGACGGUACCUAAUCAGAAAGCCACGGCUAACUACGUG
rnacentral:rRNA from 1 species